AUUGAACGCUAGCGGGAUGCUUUACACAUGCAAGUCGAACGGCAGCGCGGACUUCGGUCUGGCGGCGAGUGGCGAACGGGUGAGUAAUGUAUCGGAACGUGCCCAGUAGCGGGGGAUAACUACGCGAAAGCGUAGCUAAUACCGCAUACGCCCUACGGGGGAAAGCAGGGGAUCGUAAGACCUUGCACUAUUGGAGCGGCCGAUAUCGGAUUAGCCAGUUGGUGAGGUAACGGCUCACCAAGGCGACGAUCCGUAGCUGGUUUGAGAGGACGACCAGCCACACUGGGACUGAGACACGGCCCAGACUCCUACGGGAGGCAGCAGUGGGGAAUUUUGGACAAUGGGGGCAACCCUGAUCCAGCCAUCCCGCGUGUGCGAUGAAGGCCUUCGGGUUGUAAAGCACUUUUGGCAGGAAAGAAACGUCGCGGGCUAAUACCCCGUGGAACUGACGGUACCUGCAGAAUAAGCACCGGCUAACUACGUG
rnacentral:rRNA from 1 species